rnacentral:rRNA from 1 species
GACGAACGCUGGCGGCGUGCCUAAUACAUGCAAGUAGAACGCACAGUUUAUACCGUAGCUUGCUACACCAUAGACUGUGAGUUGCGAACGGGUGAGUAACGCGUAGGUAACCUGCCUGGUAGCGGGGGAUAACUAUUGGAAACGAUAGCUAAUACCGCAUAAUAUUGAUUAUUGCAUGAUAAUUGAUUGAAAGAUGCUAUUGCAUCACUACCAGAUGGACCUGCGUUGUAUUAGCUAGUAGGUGAGGUAACGGCUCACCUAGGCGACGAUACAUAGCCGACCUGAGAGGGUGAUCGGCCACACUGGGACUGAGACACGGCCCAGACUCCUACGGGAGGCAGCAGUAGGGAAUCUUCGGCAAUGGACGAAAGUCUGACCGAGCAACGCCGCGUGAGUGAAGAAGGUUUUCGGAUCGUAAAGCUCUGUUGUAAGAGAAGAACGGGUGUGAGAGUGGAAAGUUCACACUGUUACGGUAUCUUACCAGAAAGGGACGGCUAACUACGUG